AUGACAAACAAUGUAGUCAAGGUUUCAACGGAAAGGAUUACUCUCAGCUAUGAGACCUACGCGCUAGCCAACUGCGCCACCACCCCGUUGCUACAAUUCUUGACAAAAAGUCCUUCCAGGAAUCUAGAGAAACACCAACGUCAACUCAGUUUCAACUACAUGUUCCGAUCUACACUCUCCAACUCCAAGGUUAACUCAACAACACUCUCUUCUUCUGCAUUUCAAUUCCAUUUACAACCCUUUUCAUGUUUAAUUUUCCAUGCUAUUUCAUAA